CGCCGCCUGUUUACCAUCGCACCCAUUGGGUACGAUGGUAGCCGUGCCACACAUCCGCCUGUUUACCAUCGCACCCAUUGGGUACGAUGGUAGCCGUGCCACACAUCCGCCUGUUUACCAUCGCCGCCUGUUUACCAUCGCACCCAUUGGGUACGAUGGUAGCCGUGCCACACAUCCGCCUGUUUACCAUCGCACCCAUUGGGUACGAUGGUAGCCGCGCCACACAUCCGCCUGUUUACCAUCGCCGCCUUGUUUACCAUCGCACCCAUUGGGUACGAUGGUAGCCGUGCCACACAUCCGCCUGUUUACCAUCGCACCCAUUGGGUACGAUGGUAGCCGCGCCACACAUCCGCCUGUUUACCAUCGCACCCAUUGGGUGCGAUGGUAGCCGUGCCACACAUCCGCCUGUUUACCAUCGCCGCCUGUUUACCAUCGCACCCAUUGGGUACGAUGGUAGCCGCGCCACACAUCCGCCUUUUUACCAUCGCACCCAUUGGGUACGAUGGUAGCCGUGCCACACAUCCGCCUGUUUACCAUCGCCGCCAUGAUACAUCGCACNNNNNNNNNNNNNNNNNNNNNNNNNNNNNNNNNNNNNNNNNNNNNNNNNNAAUGGAACUACGGAUGCAGGCCGCCCCCGGAUGCCAACAGCCAGUUUGCGCGGACAGCUCAACAAGCCCUAACGGGCUGGCUUCGAAUGGCAACCACGCACCUCCUGAAGGUGCCGGGGGCUUGCUGGAGCAACUACGGGACACGAUUCGACGGGUCGGUAGCCAAAUACGGCAGGCGCUAACAACAGAACGCCGGAAAAGCAUAACCACAGCGCGCCGCCGAACCCAGCAUCUGAUCGCCACACGCCCUCGACGGGCCCACCAAGGCAUCUUCAGCAAGGAUGAACUCGAACGCGGCCUACCUGCGGUGAAACACCCGGUCUCCGGUAAAAUAUGCACGGAACCCGAAUCCAUCCUUGAAGCAGUCCACCAGUACUUCCAGACGCAGGCCGCCCCCAUUGGCCCCCCGAAGACCGGACGGUACCGACCCGAGGAAACCCCUCGAGCGUACCCAUUUCUGCAGAGUGCCGCCCCAGACACGUUCUCCCUUACCAGCCCGAAACAGGCCGCGGACCACGUCCUGCUUAGCAGCGUCGCCGACCCUGUUAACUUUAACAAGUGUGUCCAACACCUGGCCCGCAAUAAAACACCGGGGCCCGAUGGGAUACCUAACGAGCUAUUGAGAGCAUUGCCCACUGCCUUACAGUCCACCAUCCACGACCUCCUGAAAGUCAUGUGGGCCCAGGCCCGCACGCCAAAGCAAUGGACUGAAUCCGUUACGGUCCUUCUACCAAAAGCAGGAGAUGCGCUCCUCCUGAACAACAAGCGACCCAUUGCCCUCGCCAACACUCUUUAUAAGUUAUGGACUAGCCUCGUCACAGUGUCCAUCGGGGACGUCGCUCCCGAACUCGCGUNNNNNNNNNNNNNNNNNNNNNNNNNNNNNNNNNNNNNNNNNNNNNNNNNNCAUCGCACCCAUUGGGUACGAUGGUAGCCAUGCCACACAUCCGCCUGUUUACCAUCGCACCCAUUGGGUACGAUGGUAGCCGUGCCACACAUCCGCCUGUUUACCAUCGCACCCAUUGGGUACGAUGGUAGCCGCGCCACACAUCCGCCUGUUUACCAUCGCCGCCUGUUUACCAUCACACCCAUUGGGUACGAUGGUAGCCGCGCCACACAUCCGCCUUUUUACCAUCGCACCCAUUGGGUACGAUGGUAGCCAUGCCACACAUCCGCCUGUUUACCAUCGCCGCCUGUUUACCAUCGCACCCAUUGGGUACGAUGGUAGCCGUGCCACACAUCCGCCUGUUUACCAUCGCACCCAUUGGGUACGAUGGUAGCCGUGCCACACAUCCGCCUGUUUACCAUCGCACCCAUUGGGUACGAUGGUAGCCGUGCCACACAUCCGCCUGUUUACCAUCGCACCCAUUGGGUACGAUGGUAGCCGUGCAACACAUCCGCCUGUUUACCAUCGCACCCAUUGGGUACGAUGGUAGCCGUGCCACACAUCCGCCUUUUUACCAUCGCACCCAUUGGAUACGAUGGUAGCCGUGCCACACAUCCGCCUGUUUACCAUCGCACCCAUUGGGUGCGAUGGUAGCCGUGCCACACAUCCGCCUAUUUACCAUCGCACCCAUUGGGUGCGAUGGUAGCCGCGCCACACAUCCGCCUUUUUACCAUCGCACCCAUUGGGUGCGAUGGUAGCCGUGCCACACAUCCGCCUGUUUACCAUCGCCGCCUGUUUACCAUCGCACCCAUUGGGUACGAUGGUAGCCGCGCCACACAUCCGCCUUUUUACCAUCGCACCCAUUGGGUACGAUGGUAGCCGUGCCACACAUCCGCCUGUUUACCAUCGCCGCCUGUUUACCAUCGCACCCAUUGGGUACGAUGGUAGCCGUGCCACACAUCCGCCUGUUUACCAUCGCACCCAUUGGGUACGAUGGUAGCCGUGCCACACAUCCGCCUGUUUACCGUCGCACCCAUGAUACAUACACACAUUUGUACGUGGGCACAUGAGCACACGGAUGGUGGGGCACACACAUUCACUCCAAAAAAAGAACGGAGGGAGGGAAGGCCAAGGGAGUGAAGGGGACAGCAGAGGGGAAGGCACAGGAUGGAUGAAGGGAGGGCACAUGGUAGGGGAAGGGAGGAUGUUGGGAGGGAGCGUUGAGGGAAGUGGGGGGGAUGAUGGAGGAAGGGUGGAGGAAGAGAGGGAAAUGGUAUUGUGGAGGGAUUAUUGAGGGAGGGUGGAGUGA
rnacentral:lncRNA from 1 species